rnacentral:rRNA from 1 species
GAUGAACGCUGGCGGCGUGCCUAAUACAUGCAAGUCGAGCGAACAGACGAGGAGCUUGCUCCUCUGACGUUAGCGGCGGACGGGUGAGUAACACGUGGAUAACCUACCUAUAAGACUGGGAUAACUUCGGGAAACCGGAGCUAAUACCGGAUAAUAUAUUGAACCGCAUGGUUCAAUAGUGAAAGACGGUUUUGCUGUCACUUAUAGAUGUAUCCGCGCCGCAUUAGCUAGUUGGUAAGGUAACGGCUUACCAAGGCAACGAUGCGUAGCCGACCUGAGAGGGUGAUCGGCCACACUGUAACUGAGACACGGUCCAGACUCCUACGGGAGGCAGCAGUAGAGAAUCUUCCGCGAUGGACGAAAGCCUGACGGAGCAACGCCGCGUGAGUGAUGAAGGUCUUCGGAUCGUAGAACUCUGUUAUUAGGGAAGAACAAAUGUGUAAGUAACUAUGCACGUCUUGACGGUACCUAAUCAGAAAGCCACGGCUAACUACGUG